AUACGGAGGAUCCGAGCGUUAUCCGGAUUUAUUGGGUUUAAAGGGUGCGCAGGCGGCCAUUUAAGUCAGCGGUUAAAUCGUGGGGCUCAACCCCAUUCUGCCGUUGAUACUGGGUGGAUUGAUUGCGGUCGAGGUUGGAGGAAUUCGUUGUGUAGCGGGGAAAUGCAUAGAUAUGACGAAGAACACCGAUCGCGUAGGCAGCUGACCAGACCGCAAAUGACGCUCAUGCACGAAAGUGCGGGGAUCGAACAGGAUUAGAUACCCUGGUAGUCCGCACAGUAAACGAUGAAUACUUGUUUUCGGCGAUAUAAUGUCGGAGGCAAAGCGAAAGCGAUAAGUAUUCCACCUGGGGAGUACGCCGGCAACGGUGAAACUCAAAUGAAUUGACGGGG
rnacentral:rRNA from 1 species